rnacentral:rRNA from 1 species
UACGAAGGGGGCUAGCGUUGCUCGGAAUUACUGGGCGUAAAGCGCACGUAGGCGGUCUUUUAAGUCGGGGGUGAAAUCCUGGAGCUCAACUCCAGAACUGCCUUCGAUACUGGAAGACUUGAGUCCGGGAGAGGUGAGUGGAACUGCGAGUGUAGAGGUGAAAUUCGUAGAUAUUGCAAGAACACCAGUGGCGAAGGCGGCUCACUGGCCCGGUACUGACGCUGAGGUGCGAAAG